rnacentral:rRNA from 1 species
AACCUCCGCAAUGUGAGAAAUCGCGACGGGGGGAUCCCAAGUGCCAUUCUUAACGGGAUGGCUUUUCUUAAGUGUAAAAAGCUUUUGGAAUAAGAGCUGGGCAAGACCGGUGCCAGCCGCCGCGGUAACACCGGCAGCUCUAGUGGUAGCUGUUUUUAUUGGGCCUAAAGCGUUCGUAGCCGGUUUGAUAAGUCACUGGUGAAAUCCUGUAGCUUAACUGUGGGAAUUGCUGGUGAUACUGUUGAACUUGAGGUCGGGAGAGGUUAGCGGUACUCCCAGGGUAGAGGUGAAAUUCUGUAAUCCUGGGAGGACCACCUGUGGCGAAGGCGGCUAACUGGAACGAACCUGACGGUGAGGGACGAAAGCUAGGGGCGCGAACCGGAUUAGAUACCCGGGUAGUCCUAGCCGUAAACGAUGCGGACUUGGUGUUGGGGUGGCUUUGAGCCGCUCCGGUGCCGAAGGGAAGCUGUUAAGUCCGCCGCCUGGGAAGUACGGUCGCAAGACUGAAACUUAAAGGAAUU